AAGGAGGACCAAGAACUGCUAAAUCUUAACACCGGAAUAGUCCGGCCCCCUUA
rnacentral:tRNA from 1 species